rnacentral:siRNA from 1 species
CUUCCUCGUCUGUAGCUACCC